rnacentral:rRNA from 1 species
AGGGAAUCUUCGGCAAUGGACGAAAGUCUGACCGAGCAACGCCGCGUGAGUGAAGAAGGUUUUCGGAUCGUAAAACUCUGUUGUUAGAGAAGAACAAGGAUGAGAAGAGAAUGUUCAUCCCUUGACGGUAUCUAACCAGAAAGCCACGGCUAACUACGUGCCAGCAGCCGCGGUAAUACGUAGGUGGCAAGCGUUGUCCAGAUUUAUUGGGCGUAAAGCGAGCGCAGGCGGUUCUUUAAGUCUGAUGUGAAAGCCCCCGGCUUAACCGGGGAGGGUCAUUGGAAACUGGGGAACUUGAGUGCAGAAGAGGAGAGUGGAAUUCCAUGUGUAGCGGUGAAAUGCGUAGAUAUAUGGAGGAACACCAGUGGCGAAGGCGGCUCUCUGGUCUGUAACUGACGCUGAGGCUCGAAAGCGUGGGGAGCAAAC